GACGAACGCUGGCGGCGUGCUUAACACAUGCAAGUCGAACGGAAAGGCCCUGCUUGCAGGGUACUCAAGUGGCGAACGGGUGAGUAACACGUGGGUGAUCUGCCCUGCACUUCGGGAUAAGCCUGGGAAACUGGGUCUAAUACCGGAUAGGAGCCAUUUUUAGUGUGAUGGUUGGAAAGUUUUUUCGGUGUAGGAUGAGCUCGCGGCCUAUCAGCUUGUUGGUGGGGUAAUGGCCUACCAAGGCGGCGACGGGUAGCCGGCCUGAGAGGGUGGACGGCCACAUUGGGACUGAGAGACGGCCCAGACUCCUACGGGAGGCAGCAGUGGGGAAUAUUGCACAAUGGGCGCAAGCCUGAUGCAGCGACGCCGCGUGGGGGAUGACGGCCUUCGGGUUGUAAACUCCUUUCGCUAGGGACGAAGCUUUUUGUGACGGUACCUAGAUAAGAAGCACCGGCUAACUACGUG
rnacentral:rRNA from 1 species